rnacentral:rRNA from 1 species
UACGAUGGGAGCUAGCGUUAUUCGGAAUUACUGGGCGUAAAGCGUGCGCAGGCGGCUGCUCAAGUCAGGGGUGAAAGCCCAGAGCUCAACUCUGGAAUUGCCUUUGAGACUGAGUGGCUUGAGUACGGGAGAGGUGAGUGGAAUUCCCAGUGUAGAGGUGAAAUUCGUAGAUAUUGGGAAGAACACCGGUGGCGAAGGCGGCGUCACUGGCCCGUAACUGACGGCCUCAUGCACGACAGCGUGGGGAUCAAACAGGG